rnacentral:rRNA from 1 species
CACGUAGGGCGCGAGCGUUGUCCGGAAUUAUUGGGCGUAAAGAGCUCGUAGGCGGUGUGUCGCGUCGGCCGUGAAAACCUGGGGCUCAACUCUGGGCGUGCGGUCGAUACGGGCAUCACUUGAGUUCGGCAGGGGAGACUGGAAUUCCUGGUGUAGCGGUGAAAUGCGCAGAUAUCAGGAGGAACACCAAUGGCGAAGGCAGCUCGCUGGGACGGUACUGACGCUGAGACGCGAAAGCGUGGGGAGCAAACAGG